UAAACUUGUGUUGGUUUUUUAUUUUUUGUAUUGGUGUUGUUGUUAUUGAUUUUGAUUAUUGUAAACUUAAUUGUGAUUUAUCAGUUUCUUUUUAUGUUAGUUUUUUCAAGGUUUCAAGCUUAAUAAAUCAACUUUCGAUUGAUGGUUCAUGGGUUUGUUUUGAUUGACAUUAAAUUGUCAUUAAUCUAACCCAACCUUAACCUGAUCAAAAAAGGUAGCGGUAAAAGAUAUACUUUGUCGCCUUGUUGAACACAUUUUUUCUAAUAACCAACAACAAUCAACUUUUGAUGUGCUAACUGUUGCUUGGUGUUUAAUGGAUCUUUGGUUGUUUUUUUCAUCAAAUGAUGCUUACUUGGUGUAAUUUAAUUUCUACAAUCGAUUGAUUAUUGUCAACAGCCUUGGUAUUCCAAUUCAUGAUGUUUCUUUCAAAUUUGAGAUCAGGAGACCUUCCAUCGUGGCUAUCAAAGCAAGAUAUUUAAUAUGGAUAAGACGAAAUAUAAAGUCAUAUAUUUUAUGGGAUAUUUCUCGAUAUUUUAUGAGAAAGAUGGCUGUGAUUACAACAAAACAAUUAUGGGCUAAUCCGAACAUCAUCUGAUAUUGGAUCAACUCUAUUAAAUUUUACCUCCAUACAAUUAAAGAUGACAUUAAAGCCAUGUUCGUUGCUUCUCUUGUAGACCAACUCAGCACUCCUUUUCAACAACAACAACCCAUAAUCCAUCAAUUUAUAUUUCAUUUAACCUGUUUUUUCAUUCCUGAUUAAUCUUAAUUUUUUCGAACUUAACUCUUAACAUCUUUUUUUUCAUUCUUCAUCUCAUUUCUCACCUUAUCAAAACUUCCCCUGAAUUACUCAACCCAACAAUCACCUAAAUCUAACAUAUAGUUGAUUAGAUUAUCAUCAACAGCUACAACCUCUCCCGUUGUAUCCAGUUAUAUCUAGUUGCAGUGCUUUACUUACCAUAGUAACUCUUUGCUGUUCAAUAAAUUCUGAUAGAAACCUCUACAGUUGAACAAUUAAUUUCCCUUUCCUUCAAUCAAUCCUUUAUUCACUCUAUUUUUUCAAUUGAUUAACAUUAACAAUAGCACAUGUUGUUGUCAAGAUGCACCAUAAAUGAUUCACUCUUCAGGCCUACAAUCUUUAAAACUAAGCUUUUACGAGUAAACCUUAAAUUUAUUUUAAAAUAGUCUAUUCAAAAUACUUUAGGUCAGAACACCUAAAAUAUGGCCAAUUUGUGGUCAGUUUUAUCAAGCCUAUUCCAAGUUGAACCAAUAGAUUUGGCCUUUUCAACCAUCUACAUCUGCACGUCUUUACAUCUUUACAUUUACUCUAUGGAUUGAUUGAUAAACUGAUUGUUGAGCUGGCAAAUUGUGUACAAGUACCACGAACUGCUACAUGACGGAAAAAUAUAUGAUUACAUGAAAUGGCCACAAAUAUUGACAAAACUGUUUACCUCCUAAGUUUUCCAAGUACCUCUACAAGUCAAUUCAAGUCAAGUAUACUUUGACUACUUUAAAUUGGAUCAUUUUUCAGAUUACAAUAUACAAUACAAACAAUAAUUAAUUAAAUUAUAGUAGUUGUUGCUAUGUUGAUUACAUU